GUGGACAUAGCUCAACGGUUAGAGCACCGGUCUGUGGAACCGGGGGCUGUGGGUUCAAAUCCCAUUGUCCACCCA
rnacentral:tRNA from 1 species